UCAACCUGGGUUUUUAAGAAUAAAAGUUGAAAAUACAACCAACCAGAAGUGAUCGGCUCUGAGUCUGUUUCAACAGUACUUCUUCUGAAGACUGGCAGAUAAUUCACACUCUCCGUAAUAAUGAAGCCAGAAUUAAAGACAGGCCUUCAGUGCAGAUAGGCAAGAGUCAGAUUCAGAGAACCGAGGCCAGUUUGGGUCCUGGAAUUGGAGACUGCCCCUGAGGAACUGAAAUGCUCCUGUCUUCACAGCCCUCCUUCCACCCUUAUCAGGUAACCUGCCCUGCUCCAACCUGAGGCUAAGGUCACCUGUCCCAGGCUCUGUCCCUCCCGAGGGAGUUGUUAACCCCCUUCCUGCCCUGAUCACUCCGCCUUGGCCCCUCCAGCCAUCUGCUCCUCACCUUUUGGCCAUCCCACUGAGCGUCCCCUGGGCCUGGUCACCUGCGCAGGAAGGAGGGAGAGGGGGGUGGGGGCAGAGGAGAACAAAGGAAGCCCAGGACCUAGAACAAAAGGCAGAGGCUCUCACUUUGGGGUACCAGGACACCAGCUGUGGCCCCCUUCUCGCUCCCAGGACCUAGAACAAAAGGCAGACGCUCUCACUUUGGGGUACCAGGACACCAGCUGUGGCCCCCUUCUCGCUCCCUGGAGAAUAUGUGACCCCUUUUUAAAUAACCCUGCUUUACCUGCUUGCCUCUGUGCUUCUCCAAAGGUGUACUUCAACCUGUGGGGAGCAGGACUCGCCACCGGUAACUCUGAAAAGGCAGCCCCCUGACGCUCCUCUGUUGACCCCAGAGACUCACUUCUGUUACUGAGAGUUGCCCCACCUCCACAAGUGGUUGCUCAAUGCUAUCUGAGCAGGUAACCUGAUCUUAAGACUCCUGUGGGAAACAGGCUGAUAAGAAUGCCACCGAGUGGGGCCCAGGCAGACAGGACUCCGGGGUUUCCUGUGACCACUUUCUCAACAUGCUGAACAAGCCUCAGAAUGUCUGCCUCCCCUCAGCCCCAAACCCACCCACACCCUGUUCAAAGCACCCGUCUCACCCUCUGCUCCCAAAACACCAGGGUGUCACCCUGAUCAGUGACCUGUUUGUGGGGGCCCUCUGGCCAGGAGGCUGCUCCCUGCUUCUUCACCAGCUCUAAUCCCCAGAAUCUCCUCUAGGCCUGCCCCACAGACAAUCCUACAGAACCCCAAAUUCAUACUGAAAUCUCACGUCAAAGUGAUGGUGCUAGGAAGCCGGGUAUUUGGGAGAUGUCUUUUUUUUUUUUAUAAUAUUCUUUUAGUUGUAGAUGAACACAUACCUUUACUUCGUUUAGUUUGUUUUUAUGUGGUGCUGGGUAUUAGGUGCAGGACAGGCUGAAGGAAUGUUAGCUGCAGGAUGACCACACUCCCAAACCCCCUCUGUCUGGUCCUUUAUCACCUGUUUGUGUCAAGGCUGAACACUUCACCCCCCUGCUCAAGGCUGAGCACUCAACCCCCUCCCCCCUGCUGAAGGCCGAACACUUAACCCCCCCUUGGGCCAACAAGGCAGCUUGCAGACCCAGAGGCCCCAUUAGAUUUGGGCCAUAAAAACUCCCUCCUGCCGGCCCUCUCUGUUGGUCUCUGUCGCGCUCCCCCCCCCCCCUCUCACUCUCUCUCCUUCUCUUUUUCUUUCUCUCUUUUCUCCUCUGUUACACUGCUGCAAUAAAGGUCUCUUAGUCACUCUGAGUGUUGUGGUCACUUUCCUUUCGUUGGUGCCAAAACCUGGGAAGAGGGUUAAAACCCACUUUUGGGUCCCUCUUCCGGAAGUACCACUCACUGGUCAGCCUGAACCCAUUUUCUUGACCGCCAGAACUCCAUCCACCCCGGCCUUCAAUUGGUGAGUUUCCCCUUCCUGGAAACUCAAUGGUGGCAUCGGGAGGAUCUGACCGUUGAUUGUCCGGCAAACCUCUUCACCCACCACAGCCUGUAAGGCCACGGUGGCCCUCAGGGACUCCUUCCUUG
rnacentral:lncRNA from 1 species